UACGGGGGGGGCAAGCGUUGUUCGGAUUUACUGGGCGUAAAGGGCGCGUAGGCGGUCAGCACAAGUCAGUUGUGAAAUCUCCGGGCUUAACUCGGAAAGGUCAACUGAUACUGUGCGACUAGAGUGCAGAAGGGGCAACUGGAAUUCUCGGUGUAGCGGUGAAAUGCGUAGAUAUCGAGAGGAACACCGGUGGCGAAGGCGGCGUUCUGGACUGCAUCUGACACUGAAAGACGAAAGCCAGGGGAGCAAACGGG
rnacentral:rRNA from 1 species